UAAGGCAUUAAGUUAGGAGUGAGCAUUAGCAAGUGAAUAUUUGAAUAUUAAAAUUCCCAGAAAUACUUCUGGGGUAAUCUAGCUGAAUAAUUGAGCUCUAAUAAGUGAAAGUGUAAGCAGGAAUUUUGAGAUGAAGUGAGCAGCACAAUAAUGCUAAUGUCUGAAGACUGCAAAGGGAACCUAAGUACCACUAAACUAGAGUGACAGUGCCCAAUCAUGACCAUCUGUCCCCAAAAUCCAUAACUGAGCAACAUCUAGGCUCUAUCACAAGGAGAAUGUGUUGGGACACAAAGCUGAGAGGAGGGGCCAAUACCCCAGAGUGCUGUGCUGUCCUUCAGAAGGGCUUCAACAGAUUGGACAGAUCAGCAGAGAUGAAAUAUCUGAAAUUCAUCAAAGGUAAAUGCACAGUCCUGCACCUGGGGAGGAAAAACCCCAGGAGUCGGUAUAGGAUGGGAGCUAACUUGCUGUAAAGACUUCAUAGAGAAGGAUCUGGGGGUCCUGGUACACAACAAGCUGUCCAUGAGCCAGCAGAGUGUCCUUGUGGCCAAGAAGGCCAGUGGUAUCCUGGGGAGCAUUAGGAAGAGCAUAGCCAGCAGGUCAAAGGAGGUGAUCUUGCCCCUCAGCUUAGCUCUGGUUAGG